rnacentral:rRNA from 1 species
GACAGAGGGGGCAAGCGUUGCUCGGAAUCACUGGGCGUAAAGGGCGCGUAGGCGGGAUGGCAAGUCAGUCGUGAAAUCUCUCGGCUCAACCGAGAAACGUCGGCUGAUACUGCCGUUCUUGAGGGAUGCAGAGGAGACUGGAAUUCCCGGUGUAGCGGUGAAAUGUGUAGAGAUCGGGAGGAACACCAACGGCGAAGGCAGCUCGCUGGGACGGAACUGACGCUGAGGCGCGAAAGCGUGGGGAGCGAACAGG